GAGGGUAUAGCUCAGUGGUAGGGCAUGUGCUAAGCCCGCAUGAGGUCCUGGGUUCAACCCCCAGUACCUCCA
rnacentral:tRNA from 1 species